rnacentral:rRNA from 1 species
GAUGAACGCUGGCGGCGUGCCUAAUACAUGCAAGUCGAGCGAACAGACGAGGAGCUUGCUCCUCUGACGUUAGCGGCGGACGGGUGAGUAACACGUGGAUAACCUACCUAUAAGACUGGGAUAACUUCGGGAAACCGGAGCUAAUACCAGAUAACAUGUUGAACCGCAUGGUUCAACAGUGAAAGACGGUCUUGCUGUCACUUAUAGAUGGAUCCGCGCCGCAUUAGCUAGUUGGUAAGGUAACGGCUUACCAAGGCAACGAUGCGUAGCCGACCUGAGAGGGUGAUCGGCCACACUGGAACUGAGACACGGUCCAGACUCCUACGGGAGGCAGCAGUAGGGAAUCUUCCGCAAUGGGCGAAAGCCUGACGGAGCAACGCCGCGUGAGUGAUGAAGGUCUUCGGAUCGUAAAACUCUGUUAUUAGGGAAGAACAAAUGUGUAAGUAACUAUGCACGUCUUGACGGCACCUAAUCAGAAAGCCACGGCUAACUACGUGCCAGCAGCCGCGGUAA